UCCUCUCUGGCCCAAUGGGCCUCAAGGUUUUAAAACGCGUCAUACCAAGUAAAGGAGUCUACUCUUCAUCAAUAGCUCAGGAUCUCCCUCCCUAGCCGAUGUGGGACUAAAAUUUGCACCCCCUCACCGAUCUCCCAAACCCCCUGGUACUCAACCGUGUCUUGGUGGGGACACCUCACCGAUCUCCCAGGCGGGUCAGUACUAGGCCGUAUUCUUGCGGCGUUACAUUCUCCCCCCUAUGGACACAGCGUCCCCGCUGUGGCCUCACCACCGGUAUCGGGAGUUUGCUUUG